rnacentral:rRNA from 1 species
UACGUAGGGUGCGAGCGUUAAUCGGAAUUACUGGGCGUAAAGCGUGCGCAGGCGGUUUUGUAAGCCAAAUGUGAAAGCCCCGGGCUUAACCUGGGAAUGGCAUUUGGGACUGCAAGGCUUGAGUGCGGCAGAGGAGACUGGAAUUUACGGUGUAGCAGUGAAAUGCGUAGAGAUCGUAAGGAAGACCAGUGGCGAAGGCGGGUCUCUGGACAGUUCCUGACACUGAGGCACGAAGGCCAGGGGAGCAAACGGG